AUACGGAGGACGCGAGCGUUAUCCGGAUUCAUUGGGUUUAAAGGGUGCGCAGGCGGCCGUGCAAGUCAGCGGUGAAAGCCCGGGGCUCAACCCCGGAAGUGCCGUUGAUACUGCAUGGCUGGAAUGCGGUCGAGGCGGGCGGAACGGGACGUGUAGCGGGGAAAAGCGUAGCUAUGGCACAGAACGCCGGUAGCGGAGGCCGCUCGCCAGGCCUGCAUUGACGCUCGGGCACGAAAGCGUGGGGAUCGAACAGGAUUAGAUACCCUGGUAGUCCACGCCGUAAACGAUGGGCGCUCGUCGUCGGCGGCAGACAGUCGGCGGCCAAGCGAAAGCGAUAAGCGCCCCACCUGGGGAGUACGGUCGCAAGGCUGAAACUCAAAUGAAUUGACGGGG
rnacentral:rRNA from 1 species